CUCAAAUGCUGCGUGAUGAUAAAAAUGCACUUAUUGGUUACCUCAACUGGUAACCAGGCUCUACCACUAGACUUGGCGUGGUUGGGGGUGUUCUAGAAACUCACCACCUGGGUGAGAGAAAGCAGCAGCGAUGAGAAGGCUGAACUUCUAACCCAGAUGCGCCUCAGUGCGGAAUGCAGCCGGGAAAUCGCAAGGGACCCACAGGAGCGGAUUAUGAAGGACACAGCCCUCCACCAGCACAGGGGUCCGCCGUCCUUCUCCCAGGAUCUGACUCAAGAUUUACUUCAAUUAUCCACACCUCUGUUAGAGUACCUAAGCAAAUUAAACCAUCCGAAGUGAGAGAGAGGGAAGGAAGGAACGGGAUCUUUAAUAAAACAAUGUAGGCAAAACAGCCCUCCCCCCAAUCUCUGUUCUCUACAUUACCAAACUCCUAGACAAGCAACUGUUU
rnacentral:lncRNA from 1 species